UUGAUAGCCCCCUACACCCGCUAUCCGCCCGGGUACUACGAGCACUAGCUUAAAACCCAAAGGACUUGGCGGUGCUUUAGAUCCACCUAGAGGAGCCUGUUCUAGAACCGAUAACCCCCGUUAAACCUCACCCUCUCUUGUUCUUCCCGCCUAUAUACCGCCGUCGUCAGCCUACCCUGUGAAGGAUCCGCAGUAAGCAAGAUUAGUACAACUCAAAACGCCAGGUCGAGGUGUAGCAUAUGAGAGGGAAAGAAAUGGGCUACAUUCCCUGCCGCAGGGAAUACGAACAAUGUAAUGAAACAGACAUUAGAAGGAGGAUUUAGCAGUAAGCAGAAAAUAGAGAG
rnacentral:rRNA from 1 species